rnacentral:rRNA from 1 species
AAUCAACGCUGGCGGCGUGCCUCAGACAUGCAAGUCGAACGAUUAAAGCUCCCUUCGGGGAGUGCAUAGAGUGGCGCACGGGUGAGUAACACGUAAGUAAUCUACCUUCGAGUGGGGAAUAACACCGAGAAAUCGGUGCUAAUACCGCAUAAUGCAGCGGCAUCGCAAGAUGACAGUUGUUAAAGAUUUAUCGCUUGAAGAGGAGCUUGCGGCAGAUUAGCUAGUUGGUAAGGUAAUGGCUUACCAAGGCUACGAUCUGUAACCGGUCUAAGAGGACGGUCGGUCACACUGACACUGAAUAACGGGUCAGACUCCUACGGGAGGCAGCAGUCGGGAAUUUUGGGCAAUGGGCGAAAGCCUGACCCAGCAACGCCGCGUGAAGGAUGAAGUAUUUCGGUAUGUAAACUUCGAAAGAAUAGGAAGAAUAAAAUGACGGUUACUAUUUAUAAGCUCCGGCUAACUACGUGCCAGCCGCCGCAGUAAG